UACGAAGGGGGCUAGCGUUGCUCGGAAUCACUGGGCGUAAAGCGCACGUAGGCGGCUUUCUAAGUCAGGGGUGAAAUCCUGGAGCUCAACUCCAGAACUGCCUUUGAUACUGGCGACCUAGAGUCCGGAAGAGGUUAGUGGAAUUCCCAGUGUAGAGGUGAAAUUCGUAGAUAUUGGGAAGAACACCAGUGGCGAAGGCGGCUAACUGGUCCGGUACUGACGCUGAGGUGCGAAAGCGUGGGGAGCAAACAGG
rnacentral:rRNA from 1 species